CACAGGGCGAUGGAGAGUUGCAUGGUGUGGGUCAGUGGGUCAGCAGCCACUGCCAAGAAGAAUUGGGCAAAAGUGACAAAAAGGAGAUCCAGAUGAUGCAGAUUUCAUGAGGCUGAUUGCAUCAAGGUCCAGGACGCUGAAGAGACUUCUUAACAGAAUUUGUAGUCACAAGAAAGAUAUCAAUACAUCAAAAACUCAGGCUUUCAUCCUUCAACAAUCAUUCUCCUUGCCAUCAUUUACUUCAGAUGUUUUACCACAAGCUUUGUCCGCCACGUGGGAGAGAUCGCUUUUAAAAUGUUUCCUUCCACCUCAGAAGGAAAUAAGAGGAGAAAUUGAAUUGGGAAUGGAGAAGGGGGAAAUUCAGAGUUCCAGCAGGCCUGGGGGAGCAAAAAAGCUAUGGAACUUUCCAGUCAGAAAUCUGACCCCUCUCUGCGAGACACAAAUGUGUGAGCACUGAGCUGACCAGCCAAAGGAUAAUGGUGAGUUCCUGCUUUUUUCCUGGUCCAGUCAGAGACUUUCAACUGGGCUCAUUGGUCACAGGGGUGGUAUGUUUCAUGCCUCAGUGCAAGAUUUGUUGGUCCUGAGACUAGUGUUUCAAAUUAGCCUAAGCAAAAGCAGCACUGGAGAUGGAGAAACAUGUGGUACCACACAAUGAAGGAGCUCUGUGUGAUGGGCACGUGUCCCACCCACUCACUGCGUGCAAUCUGAUCAAGCAAAGCAGUUGAGACAGUUGCCCCAGAGAGACUCCAUUAAAGGCAAAGAUGGGGAAUGAAGGAUCUUUUGAGUAAGAUUGAACAACAACUGCCAAAUCAGAAAAAUGUCUGGAUUUUACCACUUUAACUGAUGGAAGGAAUCCCACUGGGACUUAAGCGUAACAGAUGGGAGGGGAUUUCUUAUGCCCUUUGCCAAUUCGAGACUGUGGUUCUAUGAGGUGGCUGUUGGGAUGCUGCUGGAGUUAAAUGACAGAACUCAGGAGUGUCCCUAGAUUAAUAGGACAACAAGGACUCCGGACAGUUCCUAAGUGUACUUUCUACAUUUUUAAAAAUGAAAUUUCAAGCAAGCAUUUAUUUUCUCUCCCUCCCAUCUCUUUUCCACCUCCCCUCCCCUUAUGAAUAAGAAAAAAGAAAGAAAUGCAAAAUGUUGUAACAAAUAUGCCUAGUGAAAUAAGCAAAUUCCUGUAUUAGCUAUGUCUAAAAAUGUGUUUCUCAUUUUUCAUCACCCCUCUGUCAGGACAUAUAUAACAUUCUUUAUUAUCAGUUCUUAGAAUCAUGGUUGGUCCUUGUAUAGUUUGGAGUUUUUAACUCUUUGAAAUUUGUUUGUUUUAAUAAUGUUGUUGUUAUAGUAUAAAUUGUCCUUUUGGUUCUGCUAACUUCACAUUGCAUCAGUCAAUUAAAACUUCCCAGGUUUCUCUGAAACCAUUCUUUUCAUCAUUUCUUACAACUCAAUAGCAUUCCAUUCCAUUCACAUACCAUGACUUGUUCAGACAUUCCCCAAGUCAAUUUCCAAUUCUUUGCCAUCACAAAAAGAUCUGCUAUAAAUAUUUUUGUAUUUUAAGGACCUUUUCUUCCUUAUUUCUUUGAGCUCUUUAGCGGGUAGACUCAAGAAGCAAUUUUGCUAAAUUAAAGGAUAAACACAGUUUACCAUCAUUCCCUGAAAUGGCUUUCCAGAAUGGAAAUUCAUAGCUCCAUCAAACAGCAUCAAUGCGUUUAUUUUCCCCUAGCUAUCCAAACAUUUAUCUUUUUCCUUUUUUUGUUAAUCUACUGGGUGUUAAAGAGAACUCCAAAGAUGCUUUAAAUUGUAAUCUUUUUUUAAAAAUGAUUUCAAGCAUUUUUUCUAACUAUAGAUAUCUCAGAUUUUUUCUCUUGAGAAGUGCCUUUUUAUAUCCUUUGACCAUUUAUCAAUUUAUUGCUAUAAAUUUAAAUCAAUUUCAUACUAUAUAUUUUAGAAAUGACCUUUAUCCGAGAAAUACUGCAAAGAUUUAUUCCUAAUUAAGGGCUUGUCUCAGUUGUCCUUGU
rnacentral:lncRNA from 1 species